AGUGAACGCUGGCGGUAGGCCUAACACAUGCAAGUCGAACGGCAGCACAGGAGAGCUUGCUCUCUGGGUGGCGAGUGGCGGACGGGUGAGGAAUACAUCGGAAUCUACUUUUUCGUGGGGGAUAACGUAGGGAAACUUACGCUAAUACCGCAUACGACCUACGGGUGAAAGCAGGGGAUCUUCGGACCUUGCGCGAUUGAAUGAGCCGAUGUCGGAUUAGCUAGUUGGCGGGGUAAAGGCCCACCAAGGCGACGAUCCGUAGCUGGUCUGAGAGGAUGAUCAGCCAGACUGGAAAUGAGACACGGUCCAGACUCCUACGGGAGGCAGCAGUGGGGAAUAUUGGACAAUGGGCGCAAGCCUGAUCCAGCCAUACCGCGUGGGUGAAGAAGGCCUUCGGGUUGUAAAGCCCUUUUGUUGGGAAAGAAAUCCAGCUGGUUAAUACCCGGUUGGGAUGACAGUACCCAAAGAAUAAGCACCGGCUAACUUCGUGCCAGCCGCCGCGGUAA
rnacentral:rRNA from 1 species